UACGGAGGGUGCAAGCGUUGUUCGGAAUUACUGGGCGUAAAGCGCGCGUAGGCGGUUUGUUAAGUCAGAUGUGAAAGCCCAUGGCUCAACCAUGGACGUGCAUUUGAAACUGGCAGACUUGAGUAUUGGAGGGGGUGGUGGAAUUCCCGGUGUAGAGGUGAAAUUCGUAGAUAUCGGGAGGAAUACCGGUGGCGAAGGCGACCACCUGGCCAAAUACUGACGCUGAGGUGCGAAAGCGUGGGGAGCAAACAGGAUUAGAAA
rnacentral:rRNA from 1 species